AUUGAACGCUGGCGGCAGGCCUAACACAUGCAAGUCUAGCUGAUGAAGGGAGCUUGCUCCUGUAUUCAGCGUCGCACGGGUGUGUAAUGCCUAGUAAUCUUCCUUGUCGUGGGGGAUCACGUCCGCCCACUGGCGCUAAUACCGCAUUCGUCCUGUGCGAUUAAGUGGGUGAUCUUCGGACCUCCCGCUAUCAGAUGAGCCUAGGUCGGAUUAGCUAGUUGGUGGGGUAACGGCCUACCAAGGCGACGAUCCGUAACUGGUCUGAGAGGAUGAUCAGUCACACUGGAACUGAGAAACGGUCCAGACUCCUACGGGAGGCAGCAGUGGGGAAUAUUGGACAAUGGGCGAAAGCCUGAUCCAGCCAUGCCGCGUGUGUGAAGAAGGGCUUCGGAUUGUAAAGCACUGUAAGUUGGGAGGAAGGGCAGUAAGUUAAUAACUUGCUGUUUUGACGUUACCAACAGAAUAAGCACCGGCUAACUUCGUG
rnacentral:rRNA from 1 species